GUCAAGUAAUUAAGUGCAUGUGGUGGAUGCCUUGGCAGUCAGAGGCGAUGAAAGACGUGAUAGCCUGCGAAAAGCUCCGGGGAGGCGGCAAAUAUCCUUUGAUCCGGAGAUUUCUGAAUGGGGGAACCCACCUACUUUAAGGUAGGUAUUGCAACAUGAAUACAUAGUGUUGCAAGGCGAACGAGGGGAAGUGAAACAUCUCAGUACCCUUAGGAAAAGAAAUCAAUUGAGAUUCCCUCAGUAGCGGCGAGCGAACGGGGAUCAGCCCAUUAAGUUAUGUGUGUUUUAGUGGAACGCUCUGGGAAGUGCGAACGUAGAGGGUGAUAUUCCCGUACACGAAAGGGCACACAUAAUGAUGACGAGUAGGGCGAGGCACGUGAAACCUUGUCUGAAUAUGGGGGGACCAUCCUCCAAGGCUAAAUACUCCUGACUGACCGAUAGUGAACCAGUACCGUGAGGGAAAGGCGAAAAGAACCCCUGUGAGGGGAGUGAAAUAGAUCCUGAAACCGCAUGCAUACAAGCAGUGGGAGCACCUUCGUGGUGUGACUGCGUACCUUUUGUAUAAUGGGU
rnacentral:rRNA from 1 species